UGACACACCCCGUCCCGAAGGAGGGCGUGCUGGCCGUCACGUGAGAGUGACGUAACCAUUUACACAGUUCGGAAGCUUUAAAAAAAAUUCCAAUUACUAAGAUAACACACCCGAGGGUGAGUCCUACUUUUGUGAAUUCUGUCAGAACACCGUUGGAUUCCUCGUGGCCACCAAAGCUCUGCUAACUUGAACCUGGAGGGGCGCAAAACAAAAUUGAGUGGGUCAGUAAAACAAAGUUUUUCGAAGACUUUUCAUUUAAAACAUUUAUAACCCCUCACCGUAAAACCUGUAUACUUUCCCAGAAAAUAGCAUAUAUAUAACAUAUAUAUAAGCAAAAAGCUCAAAUCUCAAACCUUUAACACUUUUCAGAAAAAUAUAUAUAUAUAUAAUAUAUAUAUAUAUAUAUAUAUAAUAGAUAUAUAACCAUAUGAAAUCUCAAAGCUUGAAUCCCAAAUCUUUAACAUUUUUCAAGAAAAAACAUGCCAUGCCAUAAAUCAAAAAUAUAAAUCAGGUGAAAUAAGGAAUCAAUCGGAGACCCUGCAGUUGGUCCUAUACGAUUAAUUCAAUAGCUCAAUAUCUCACACUAAGCCGGAGUCACCACAGUGACCUAUACGGCCCUACUCUGCACAUCACUCGGAACUACGUAAGGUAGUCUAUACGAUGAAAGGUGUAAAAUAACGCUCUAGUGCUUCUCUCAUCAUAUCAUCAGCGCGCAUAUCUAAGGUCACCCACCAGUCGGAACCCCUCUAAUGGUCUGUACGACUGGCAUGUCGGAACCCUCACAUGGUCUGUACGACAUCCACCUACUUGGAUCCAAGGCGAGCGUGCGGUGUGGUGAAUAAUUAUAAGCACUAACACUUAGGGUGCAGAUUAUGAGCUCAAACAUCUCAACAACAACAAUUCAAUGAAUAAACGAACUCACCUGACUUACCUGUGCCUCCACAGCACCAUGCAACAUGUAUGCAUCAUAUAUCAAUCAUAUAACUCAUAUGAAAUUCACAUUUUAAAAUAAUUCUAUGCAUGGCAUUUUCAAAACAUAAUUUCGCAUAAAAGCAUUUUUUUCUGGGAAAAACAAUAGUAUAUAGGUAAUACGAAAACAAAACUGCCCACUCACCUGGAGUUCGCCCACAACUCCCUAGCACCGUACAUCAAGGCGUCAUGACGAUUAGCGCCUAGAACAACAAUCAAAUCCAACCUCAGAAAUUCUGCCGAUAGAAUACAU
rnacentral:lncRNA from 1 species